rnacentral:lncRNA from 1 species
CUAUGAAACCCAAGAGAGUUGCAAAAGUUUACAAGAGGCAGCAAAGCAACAUCAGGAAGCCCAUCAAAGUUUCAAACAAGAACAAGAAUCCCUGUUAGAGUCUGUAAAGUGCCGAACAGCUCAAUAAAGACUUUGAAGAUAUCAAAACAAAAUCCAUACAGUCACUAGAUAAAACAAAGUUGUGGAGACCAGAACAUCAGAACUCACCACAGAGUUUAAGGGGAAACAUGCUGAAAUUCACUAAUUCAAGAAUAAAGUCUGCUGAAAACAAUUUACUGGAAAAGGCACUUGAAAAGGCUGAAACGAUGCAAAACUAUUUGAAGGAUAAAGACAAUAUGACAGAGAGGAAAAUACAAGAGAUUGAGGGGCAAUUAUCUGCUGCAAUGAGAAGAGAGGAAAAAUCCAUCAAGGAAAAAGAUCAUCUGAAGACAGACAUUGUACAACAUGAGGUGAAGUAUGAAGAGCUAUCAGCAAGUCUCAAUCAGCUGCAACUUGAGAACAAGACUAUUCUGGAGACGAUGCAGAAUGAAUCCUCAGAGGCAACCAUUCUUGUAGCACGACUAAAAGAGAGGGAGGCAAAAUAG